rnacentral:rRNA from 1 species
CGAGYYCCUUCUUUUUCUUUUAAUCUUUCCAUUAAUGUUCUAGUGUAAGGUUAACGUUAUUAUUUUUAGGUUUUUCUUGUAAGGUGUUACUAAAGUUAAUUCAUUUUCGUUAAUCGCCAAUAGUGUCUAAAAUGGCUUAGGCUUACAUUUUGGAGAAGUUCUACUUCUUAUUACUAGUUCUAGCAUAAAAUCUUCCAUAGGGUUAUGGAAUUACUCAAUACUAAUUAUGGGUUGAAUAAUAAUAAAGGCAUUAAAUGGAAAAAAUAGUAAACUUUAACGUUUUUUAAAAGAUGGCUGUUUUUAGGCCCACUUGAUAUUUUUCUCGAUAUUAUUACCCUAUAUUUUAGGUUGUAUCCUUUUUCAAAUAAGCUGUGCCUUAUUUGAAUGACUCUUAAACUUAGUGGAUGUUUAGAAAAACUAAAAAAGUUUAAGGCUGAACUAAUAUUCUUUUCUUGAGCAACCAGCUAUCUCUUGGUGCGGUAGGUUUGUCGCCUCUACUUGGAAAUCGUCCCACUCUAUUGCAACAGAGAUGGGUUUGCUCUUUUAGCUGUUUCGAAGUAGCUCACCUAGUUUCGGGGGGUUAAACUUAAAUUUCUUUUUGCUUAGUUUUACUGGCUAGACCAUGAUGCAAAAGGGUCGAG